GAUGAACGCUGGCGGCGUGCUUAACACAUGCAAGUCGAACGGUGAAGGCGGAGCUUGCUCUGCUGGAUCAGUGGCGAACGGGUGAGUAACACGUGAGCAAUCUGCCCCUGACUCUGGGAUAAGCGCUGGAAACGGCGUCUAAUACUGGAUACGAGCUGCGAAGGCAUCUUCAGCAGCUGGAAAGAACUUCGGUCAGGGAUGAGCUCGCGGCCUAUCAGCUUGUUGGUGAGGUAACGGCUCACCAAGGCGUCGACGGGUAGCCGGCCUGAGAGGGUGACCGGCCACACUGGGACUGAGACACGGCCCAGACUCUUACGGGAGGCAGCAGUGGGGAAUAUUGCACAAUGGGCGAAAGCCUGAUGCAGCAACGCCGCGUGAGGGACGACGGCCUUCGGGUUGUAAACCUCUUUUAGCAGGGAAGAAGCGAAAGUGACGGUACCUGCAGAAAAAGCGCCGGCUAACUACGUG
rnacentral:rRNA from 1 species